rnacentral:rRNA from 1 species
GAUGAACGCUAGCGGCAGGCCUAAUACAUGCAAGUCGAGCGGCAAGUCGAGGAGUAAUCUGAGACCUAGAGCGGCGUACGGGUGCGUAACGCGUAUGCAACCUACCUCAUACAGGGGGAUAGCCCGGAGAAAUCUGGAUUAAUACCCCAUAGCACAGCACAAGGGGCAUCUGCGAGCUGUUAAAGAUUCAUCGGUAUGAGAUGGGCAUGCGUCUGAUUAGCUAGUUGGCGGUGUAACGGACCACCAAGGCGACGAUCAGUAGGGGUUCUGAGAGGAAGGUCCCCCACACUGGCACGUGAGAUACGGGCCAGACUCCUACGGGAGGCAGCAGUAGGGAAUAUUGGGCAAUGGACGAGAGUCUGACCCAGCCAUGCCGCGUGCAGGAAGAAGGCCUUCUGGGUUGUAAAACUUGACUUUACUGCAAAUGGGAAAAUCCGCCAUGCGUGGGACAUUGCCAGGUACCAGAUGAAUAAGCACCGGCUAACUCCGUGCCAGCAGCCGCGGUAAUACGGAGGGUGCAAGCGUUGUCCGGAUUUAUUGGGUUUAAAGGGUGCGUAGGCGGCUAUUAAGUCAGCGGUGAAAGACUCCGGCUCAACCGGAGCAGUGCCAUUGAUACUGGAUAGCUUGAGUGUUGGAGGGGUAUAUGGAAUUGAUGGUGUAGCGGCGAAAUGCAUAGAUACCAUCAGGAACACCGAUAGCGAAGGCGUUGUACUGGCCAACAACUGACGCUGAGGCACG